rnacentral:rRNA from 1 species
GACGAACGCUGGCGGCGUGCUUAACACAUGCAAGUCGAGCGGAAAGGCCCUUCGGGGUACUCGAGCGGCGAACGGGUGAGUAACACGUGAGUAACCUGUCCUUGGCUUUGGGAUAACCCUCGGAAACGGGGGCUAAUACCGGAUACGACUCCUGCCUGCAUGGGUGGGGGUGGAAAGUUUUUCGGCUAGGGGUGGGCUCGCGGCCUAUCAGCUUGUUGGUGGGGUGAUGGCCUACCAAGGCGACGACGGGUAGCCGGCCUGAGAGGGCGACCGGCCACACUGGGACUGAGACACGGCCCAGACUCCUACGGGAGGCAGCAGUGGGGAAUAUUGCACAAUGGGCGGAAGCCUGAUGCAGCGACGCCGCGUGAGGGAUGACGGCCUUCGGGUUGUAAACCUCUUUCAGCA